AAAUUUCUUUAAAACAAGGAGGGGUUAAAAUGGAAAAGAGAAUAAAAUGGAGGGUUGAAACUUGAAUUAAAGGAAAUCUCAUAUUAAACCUAUUAUAAACACUCUUUCCUAGGUAAGCGUGAAGAUAAAAAAAAAAAACCCUAAUUUCUUUUCUUUUUCUUUCCUCUUUCGUCUUCCUGUCAUGUUUCACCAUGGGCAAACAUGACAAGUCGGCCGUCCAGCCAUUUUUGGCGCCACCACUGGUCCCAAACGAAGCAUCAAACUGGUGAUAACAUAGUCCCGUCAUCCACCACCAUUAACGGCCUCUACUUUCAUUGGAAUUGCAACUUGAAGCCACGGACAACCUACACUUUGGGAGCUUGAUCUGGCCACCUCCGACAUCUUCUUGGCAAACAAACUCCGCCAAUGGACUCACUGGAGCAAGGAGCACGUAGGCCAGCCAAGUUCCGGUAGAAACAAUCACCGAAAGUUGCCAACCCUCGUUUGACACGGUUUUUUCCGACUCGUUGACCUGGAGAUCGAGGAGUCGAAGUAGACGCUAUAGAUGUGCAUUUGAUUUGCACUGCAAUCGAGGCAAGUACGAAGAUGGCGGCCAGUUUUCGAGGCGUGAGCGGUUUUCCAUGGAUACAGUCGAGGUUAUGGGUAGUGUAGGGUUGAUAUUAUAAAGACUUCCGCUUUGUUAAAUUUUAAAGACUUAUUAUGUCUUAAUGGAUUUCUAAAUGCAUUUUAUUCAUUUUUUGGGAUUAUAUUAAAUAAUUUUGGAGGAUUUGCUUGGAUAGUUUAUGCUUUGGACAAAUUGGUAAUUCCGCAGACCCCCCUUCCGGGACGGGUCGUUACAGUUGGUAUCGGAGCUUAGGUUCUAGUAUCCUAGGCAGUAUCCAUGGUAUCGCUACGCGUUUCAAGACUGGCCGGUAAGUCAUCGUUUUGGUUUGUGAUGGUUGUGUUGUAUGUAUUUCUCGCUAUUUUAUAGCUUGCUGUAUUAUACUCAUGUGGUAGAGGUUUCAUCAUGAAUGUUCCAAAACAUGAGGAAAAAAAAAAUUCACUUUGUGAUAAGGGAACGAUCUUAAUUGAUACUGAAUGUACUAAAUAAUUGGGAAUUGAGGAUAUCUUUGUUUUCCUAACCCUGUAUGGUAAAACAAUUGAAAGUUACCGUAUUGGUUAGUGCAUUAUUCGAAUUUAUUGGAUGGAUUUGGAUGUGUGGACAUUGUGACGUUGAUUCAAGGUAUUGGAAUGAUCAUAAUAUUUUUUAUGACUAAUCAAUUGUGGAUGGUGGAACAUAUUUGUGGAUAUGGUAUGGAGUGAAAUUGGAUAGAUUAUUUGUGAUAUGAUUAUAUUAUUGAUUACCUAUACAUGGCUAUAUGUAACCAAUUGACUUAAUUGUCUAUUUAGAUGACUCGGUUGUGGUUUUUAGAGUUUGUUGUUGGAUUUUGAGAUGAUUGAAAUUGGUUGUUGGAUUUGAAUGUCAGAUUUUGUUGUGGUUAUUGGAUUAGAUCGAUGGAAUGUAUCAUGUGAAAGAAGUUUUUUAUUGUCCAAUGCUAAAGGAUAGGCUUAAAUUUAAUGGUAGCCGGUAGGUUUCAGUUUGUAAUGAAGUUUAGGCAUAUAUGUCUUAUCGGGGCUUGGCGCGGAUGAUUAUUUUUAGAGGUGAUAUUUUGGGACUUUUUGAUGAAUUGUCUAGUUGAACUAGAUUUAAGUGGUGAUAGUGAUUUGUGAUGAAUUGGGGUCUCUUUAUAAGAUAUUAUGGUUUGAAUUAUUCAUGCCAUCAUAUGAUGAUCUUGAAAUUGCAAUAGUGAUUUGAAGACAAUUAUGGAUGUGGUAUAGGUGCAAACUUCCGAAGUGAAAAUUAUUAGUCUGACAACUUUAAGGGUGAAGAUAGAUUCCCUCUUUUGUUACGUGACUGGUAACUUUAGUUCCGUUUUCUGCACGGCUGAUUUGAUUCUCUGUAGUCGCAUGGAUAUUUAUUUUUUUUUUAAUUUUAUUUUUUUUGAAGAUGUGUUACUUUGAUUUUUCAACUGUGUUCUCUCAUGGGACUGAGACUUUUAUUAUGUGUACUUUAAUUAUGCUUGAAGUUGGGGGUGUUUGGAACCUGGCGUGGAGACCAGGGUAGAUAUUUGAACUUAUUCAGUUGUUGCAAGGGGCUCUACACUAAACACCUGUAUUGGUGUGGUAGAGGGUUACUAAUGAUUUUCGGGGACAUAACUGUAGUGACUUUAUCUUGACCAAAUAAUUUGGUAGGGGGUGUUUUUGUUUUAUUAAGGUACUUGGGGAGUUGUUAGUGGCGGCAAUGGCACGUUGUGGCAUGGAGCUGUCUUUUGGAGAAAAUUUGGGACAUGGGAUUAAGAGUUAGAAAUGUAUGGUGGCCUGAAGUUUGCUUGAUUUUACUUGGUUGGGUCUUUAUGAGUGUUCAUUAAUGGGUGAAUUGUUUAUGAUAGUCCCUGCCUUGCAAGUGGUGUAUAGUUUUGGAGCCAUGUAACUGGUAGUGGAAGCUAUAUAGAAAAUGAAUGAAAGUAUUUAUUUUGUUCUAUGUGAAUAUGGGGAGUAUAAUGCAGUUAGGAAAGUGGCGUACCUAAUGAUGAAUGUGCGGAGGAAAAAUAUAAUGGUAUUGGUAUGUGUCUUGGGAAUUGGUGCUUGGAAGUCGGGGUUAAAUGCAUUGAUUUUGGGCUUUGGGGAUUGACAUGUUUCCAGUGUUUGUGGAAUUGUGACGAUAUAGAGAUAGUUUUUGAUUCUAAAUUGUUGUUUAUUAUGAUACCGGACAGUGGGGCUAUUUUGUUGCCUACGUGAUUUGAGUCGAGUUAUAUCAGUUGGGUUUUAGGCAUUGCAUUUGUAUGCCCUUGACCUUUAGACUGCUGUUCUUUUCGAAUUGUAUAUGCUGUUUGGUGAUCUGGACUUUGAGACCUGUAGUUUGGGCAUUGAUAGAAAAAGAAAAGAAAAAAAAAACGAAUUAAAUUUUGGUGCAAUUAAUUGCCGCGUUUUAUCGGUGGAUUACUAACAUCAAAUGUUGGAUUGUAUGAAAAAAAAAUUCUUUUAGUUUCAUGCAUGAAGUACCGUCAAGUUUGGAAAAAGGCAUGGAAAGCCAUGGUAUUUGUGGCGUUAUUGCCGUUAUGAGGUGGUGAAUUUGAGAAUUCAUUUAUGUUUGGAGUUGGUUAAUUUGGUAUUGUGCAACUGACGAGUUUUGAUGCUGAGAUUAAAUUGUAUUGGGUUAUAGUGGAAAGGUGAAUAGCAUUUAGGUGAAGCUCAAUCUCAUACUUAGUGUUUCAUUUGGAAUUUUGUUUAGUGGAUGUUGUCAGGUGUGCUAAUUCGUUGGGUUAUAUAUCUGCUUUUGCUCUUGAGCAAUAUCCUUUGUUGGGCCUUUGACUUAUAGUUAUACUUUGUUCUCGGUUGAUUUGGUUUUGCCACGGGGGUAUACCCACGUGGUUGCCCUAAAUUUGUUUGGGGUUAUGAACAGUUCCUGCUAUUCAGCAGGAUAUAGGAAAUACUACAAUAUUUUCAUUUUAGUUUGAAUUUGAGUAGUGAUUGGUUCAUAGAUUUCACAUUCCGUUAUUAUGAUUUAUUUUGUGCUUGCUUCGAGUUUGGGAGUUAACCCAUCGAAAUUUUGCGAUUCUCGAGUUCAUGUAGGGAUGGUAUUGUGUGUGUGAUACGAUUGUUAUGGUAUGUUGGGUUCGUAAACUCUGAAUUUCAAGUUGAACUUGUUAUAGUUGUGUAAACAGUUUUGGGUGGCGGUCGCUUUUGGGCUGAUUUGGUUGCGAUAGAGAUUGCUGCUUUCGACAUCAUCCUCGUGAUGAACUAGUGUUCGAGGUUCGGACAAUAUUAGAAUUUUACAAAAAGAAAUUCAUUUUGGUAACAUCUCAGAGAUGAAUUAUUCGAGUUAAAGACAGAACGUUCUUGGGAUUGGUCAAAAAUAUGGGAGAAUUACUCGACGUAAUUCAACGAUUUGAGUAUGGAAUAAAUUUCGAGGACAAAAUUUUAUUUAAGGGGGGUAGAAUGUAAAAUCCCAGACUUUUGUAAGUGGUAAUUGAAAUUUCUUUAAAACAAGGAGGGGUUAAAAUGGAAAAGAGAAUAAAAUGGAGGGUUGAAAGUUGAAUUAAAGGAAAUCUCAUAUUAAACCUAUUAUAAACUCUCUUUCCUAGGUAAGCGUGAAAAUAAAAAAAAAAACCCUAAUUUCUUUUCCUUUCUUUCCUCUUUCUUCUUCCUGUCAUGUUUCACCAUGGGCAAACAUGACAAGUCGGCCGUCCAGCCAUUUUUGGCGCCACCACUGGUCCCAAACGAAGCAUCAAACUGGUGAUAACAUAGUCCCGUCAUCCACCACCAUUAACGGCCUCUACUUUCAUUGGAAUUGCAACUUGAAGCCACGGACAACCUACACUUUGGGAGCCUGAUCCGGCCACCUCCAACAUCUUCUUGGCAGACAAACUCCGCCAAUGGACUCACUGGAGCAAGGAGCACGUAGGCCAGCCAAGUUCCGGUAGAAACAAUCACCGAAAGUUGCCAACCCUCGUUUGACACGGUUUUUUCCGACUCGUUGACCUGGAGAUCGAGAAGUCGAAGUAGACGCUAUAGAUGUGCAUUUGAUUUGCACUGCAAUCGAGGCAAGUACGAAAAUGGCGGCCAGUUUUCGAGGCGUGAGCGGUUUUCCAUGGAUACAGUCGAGGUUAUGGGUAGUGUAGGGUUGAUAUUAUAAAGACUUCCGCUUUGUUAAAUUUUAAAGACUUAUUAAUUAUGUCUUAAUGGAUUUCUAAAUGCAUUUUAUUCAAUUUUUGGGAUUAUAUUAAAUAAUUUUGAAGGAUUUGCUUGGAUAGUUUAUGCUUUGGACAAAUUGGUAAUUCCGCAGACCCCCCCUUUCGGGACGGGUCGUUACAAAACUUGUAAUAGUAAUACAAUGUUAUAAGCAUAUUUAUAUAUGUCAUGCUCAAAUUCGGAA